rnacentral:tRNA from 1 species
GGCAAUAGCUCAGUUGGUAGAGCGUUGGCUUCCCAAGCCGAAGGUCGCGGGUUCGAGUCCCGUUUGCC